ACUCGUCAUUAGUAACAUUCGCUGCACCUGUUUGUGUUUACUUCCUCGACAGUCUGAAGCAGCGGACGCUGGAUUUUAAAAUUUACUUUCGACGACUAGCUCCAUGACAGACUGUAACAUGUCCAUGUGUGGGGGGUUUUCAUUUUUAAUUUUCACCUUUUAAUGUGUGAAUGACAAGUUAGUGGGAAUUCUGUGUCACGUUGAGCUGUGAAAAGACGCUGACCGGGUAGACCUGCCCGCGACGAAGAACCCCACCACCACUUUAAAAUCCCAAGGAGCUUAUUCCCAAAUGAAGACAUGAAUGAUAUUUGUAUCCAGCGGGAACUUCGGCCACAACCGGAAGCCAAACAAACUGGACCGGUCCCGUGAAGCUCGGCAACGGGAACUGUCCAGAGAAUACCUGAGGUGAAAAGAAAAGCAUCACGGUUGAUACAUUUUGAAGAUUCAGAUUUCACAGGAAUAUUUAAAAUUGAAUUUCCUGAUACAUUUUUUUGACUGACCUGUACGCUGCAGGUCGCAGCAAUGACACCAUCCACUGGCGUCUCUGAGAAGGGGUCAAACAUCCUGUCUGACCGUCGCAUGAAGUCGGGCUUCUGCAGACGCUCCACCUUGUGUGACCCCUCUGAGCAAACCAUAUGGUCUGACCCCUCUCGCCUCUGGCCAUGGGACAGCAGCUGUUUUAUAACAGGCAUCUCUCACUGUGUAUAAUCAGUGCGUCCAUAAAUCAUCCCGGAUCACAGAUCUCAAUGUAUCCAGGUCAGGGGAUUUGUUAGUGCUAUGUGAAGACCUCUCACCCGAAGCCUUGGAGGAGAGGUGAGACACUUCAAGAACCUAAAGCAGCUUUCCUUAGAACAGUUUUUAAAUAAAAGACUCAAUGGAUCUAAGGGAGAUUGCAAAUUGUUUCUGAAAUGAUCUGAUGCUAACCAUGUCACAUUUAUUCAAUGCUUUGAACAACACACGAGGUGGCAGAUGCAGGCAUCAGCAAACGUUGGCCCAUAGAAUCAGAGCUGUCAUGAUGGCAAGACACCUAAUUGAGGAAAAUGUGUUUUUGUAAUUUGGGUGAAAAUCAAAGCUGAAUCUGAAGUCAACAAGUUCUUGUUUGUGGGUCUGUGUCAGCCCAGACUACACAUGCAUAAUGUAAAAAGCUUACAGUAUGAUGUUUGAAUGUGAGGUUACAAGUUCACCACAUGCUGCACUUUCUUAGACCAAAAGGUCGAUGGAAUGCUUGCAAUUCUAUAGGCACGUGCGUAUGGAAUACUUAAAGGGGGAUAGUGAGGUCAGGGGGCGCAUGUUGUGGUACCUGGGGUCUGGAAGUUGAGCGAAACCAUCUGGCAGCCUGCGUUCCAGAAGAUCUGAGGCAUGUAAUUACUGGAGUCCACCCGGCCUCCUUUGGGAUAGAUACGGCUCAUCUGACGCUUGUUGUAGCUGCGCUGAUGCUUAGGGAAAUAUUUUUUUUAUAUAUAUAUAUAUGUAUAAAGAGAGGGAGACCAUGUGUGCGUGCAUCAAACAGACUGCAGUACUAAUUUUAGUGUGAACAGCUUGGGUCAGUCCCACUGGAGAGAGAGUAUGCGGGUCAGGCCAAGUCACACCAGCCUCCAGAGGCCUCCGCUCCUUUACAGCAGCAGAGUGGAAACAAACAUCAGCACUGACCCAAGAUCCCGCUCUCAUGUAGGUGACCUUAUUAAGUUCAAAUUCUGAUUUCAUCAGAAGGUUUUGAUAUGCUCAGUAUAAGUGAUAAUAAUAAACAUCCAAAGUGCUUCCUUGUUAAGUUUUUUAGGAUAGCAGCAUGGAUUUUUUCCUAAAUAUAUCGUUCAUGAGACAAAGAUUUCACAACAGUUGAAAGGAUACUUGACAAACUCUAUGGCGUUAGUCUUCAGAUAGCCCAGGCCAACCGACUCGUUGAAGGAGGACAUGUUGUGGUGGAUGUUCCUUUCUGAGAGACAGAAAAGUAAUGAUGAGCACUGAAUAAAGAUUUGUUUGGAAGCAUGUAGAGAGAAAAGACAAAGCACUGCUUUAAAUCUAUUGACUGAAGCAUUUUUCACAAUCCAGACCGAAACUACAUAGAUUAUUAUUAUCAGAGUAAAUCCUAAAUUAUUUUAUCAAUUCUUUAAGUGUAUUCAUAAACAGUAUGCAAUUCAAAAGUUGCAUGCUCACC